rnacentral:rRNA from 1 species
CCUACGGGGGGCAGCAGUGGGGAAUAUUGCACAAUGGGGGAAACCCUGAUGCAGCGACGCCGCGUGAGUGAAGAAGUAAUUCGUUAUGUAAAGCUCUAUCAGUAGGGAAGUAAAUGACGGUACCUGAGUAAGAAGCCCCGGCUAACUACGUGCCAGCAGCCGCGGUAAAACGUAGGGGGCAAACGUUAUCCGGAUUUACUGGGUGUAAAGGGAGCGUAGACGGCAGUGCAAGUCUGGAGUGAAAGGCGUGGGCUCAAUCCGCGGACUGCUCUGGAAACUGUACGGCUGGAGUGCAGGAGAGGUAAGUGGAAUUCCGAGUGUAACGGUGAAAUGCGU